rnacentral:tmRNA from 1 species
GGGGGCGAAACGGAUUCGACGGGGGUAAUUGAAACUCAAGUCGCAUGUCGAGGUUCUCGCCGGCUCGUAAAACAGGCGGGGCUAAUAGAAAAGCAGACUCUUACGAGUACGCUCUAGCCGCUUAAGGCUAGCGCUCACGCACCUUUUGCCUGCGAGGGUGCGCCGGGCGACGACUAGCGGGCUAGCUGACCAGAGGCGCGGAAGGCUCUGGAAGGCGAAACACUACUUCCGCUGGCUCAGCCCACACCCUGUCCGUGGGGGAUGGAUUGAGUGAGAUUUAAAUCACGGAACAAACAUGUAGAAGCUUGAAGUGGAAGACUUUCGGACGCGGGUUCAACUCCCGCCGCCUCCACCA